UACGUAGGCAGCGAGCGUUGUUCGGAAUUACUGGGCGUAAAGAGUGUGUAGGCGGUGCUCUAAGUUCGGUGUGAAAUCUCCCGGCUUAACUGGGAGGGUGCGCCGGAAACUGGAGUGCUCGAGCGUGGGAGAGGAAAGCGGAAUUCCUGGUGUAGCGGUGAAAUGCGUAGAUAUCGAGAGGAACACCGGUGGCGAAGGCGAGUCCCUGGAAAACACCUGACACUGAGGCACGAAAGCUAGGGGAGCAAACAGG
rnacentral:rRNA from 1 species